rnacentral:rRNA from 1 species
GACGAACGCUGGCGGCGUGCUUAACACAUGCAAGUCGAACGGAAAGGCCCUGCUUGCAGGGUACUCGAGUGGCGAACGGGUGAGUAACACGUGGGUGAUCUGCCCUGCACUUCGGGAUAAGCCUGGGAAACUGGGUCUAAUACCGGAUAGGAGCCAUUUUUAGUGUGAUGGUUGGAAAGUUUUUUCGGUGUAGGAUGAGCUCGCGGCCUAUCAGCUUGUUGGUGGGGUAAUGGCCUACCAAGGCGGCGACGGGUAGCCGGCCUGAGAGGGUGGACGGCCACAUUGGGACUGAGAUACGGCCCAGACUCCUACGGGAGGCAGCAGUGGGGAAUAUUGCACAAUGGGCGCAAGCCUGUUGCAGCGACGCCGCGUGGGGGAUGACGGCCUUCGGGUUGUAAACUCCUUUCGCUAGGGACGAAGCUUUUGUGACGGUACCUAGAUAAGAAGCACCGGCUAACUACGUG